rnacentral:rRNA from 1 species
GAUCCUGGCUCAGGAUGAACGCUAGCUACAGGCUUAACACAUGCAAGUCGAGGUGAAACGACAUCGAAAGCUUGCUUUUGAUGGGCGUCGACCGGCGCACGGGUGAGUAACGCGUAUCCAACCUGCCUACCACUUGGGGAUAACCUUGCGAAAGUAAGACUAAUACCCAAUGACAUCCCACGAAGACAUCUGUAUGGGAUUAAAGAUUUAUCGGUGAUGGAUGGGGAUGCGUCUGAUUAG